AAGUAGAGAAGGUAAGUUUCCUUGCUGAGUUGAUGCCUGAGUGGUACCUAAGGGGAAAAUGGGACUAACUUUAGCCCAAAGUAGUUCCUUCGUUUGCCUUUAGGUGAGAGGGAUUGUAAGAUCAGAAUUCCUCUUCUACAUCUCCUAGAAGCUGACCUUGGGUGUUAAGAUUUGACUCCAGUCACCUCACUGUAUUAGCUUCCUUGAC
rnacentral:lncRNA from 1 species